rnacentral:rRNA from 1 species
AGGAUAAACGCUGGCGGCGUGCCUAACACAUGCAAGUCGAACGUCCUACGCAAGUAGGGAGUGGCGGACGGGUGAGUAACACGUGGGCAAUCUACCUUUCGGUGAGGAAUACCGGCGAGAAAUCGCCGACAAUACCGCAUACGCUUCGCAAGAAGCAAAGUCGCAAGACGCCGGAGGAGGAGCCUGCGCCCGAUUAGCUCGUUGGUGGAGUAAUGGUCUACCAAGGCGACGAUCGGUAGCUGGUCUGAGAGGAUGAUCAGCCACACUGGGGCUGAGACACGGCCCAGACUCCUACGGGAGGCAGCAGUGGGGAAUAUUGGACAAUGGGCGAAAGCCUGAUCCAGCAAUGCCGCGUGUGUGAAGAAGGUCUUCGGAUUGUAAAGCACUUUCGACGGGGACGAUGAUGACGGUACCCGUAGAGAGCCCCGGCUAACUUCGUGCCAGCAGCCGC